rnacentral:rRNA from 1 species
ACGAACGCUGGCGGCGUGCCUAACACAUGCAAGUCGAGCGGAGACAGUGAGUAGCUUGCUAUGAACUGUUUUAGCGGCGGACGGGUGAGUAACGCGUGAGCAACCUUUCCCAGACAGGGGAAUAACACACCGAAAGGUGUACUAAUACCGCAUAAGACCACGGGAUCACAUGGUUCUGGGGUAAAAGAUUUAUCGGUUUGGGGUGGGCUCGCGUCCGAUUAGGUAGUUGGUGAGGUAACGGCCCACCAAGCCGACGAUCGGUAGCCGACCUGAGAGGGUGAUCGGCCACAUUGGGACUGAGACACGGCCCAAACUCCUACGGGAGGCAGCAGUGGGGAAUAUUGGGCAAUGGGGGGAACCCUGACCCAGCAACGCCGCGUGGAGGAAGAAGGUUUUCGGAUCGUAAACUCCUGUCCUUGGAGACGAGUAGAAGACGGUAUCCAAGGAGGAAGCCCCGGCUAACUACGUGCCAGCAGCCGCGGUAAUACGUAGGGGGCAAGCGUUGUCCGGAAUAAUUGGGCGUAAAGGGCGCGUAGGCGGCUCGGUAAGUCUGGAGUGAAAGUCCUGCUUUUAAGGUGGGAAUUGCUUUGGAUACUGUCGAGCUUGAGUGCAGGAGAGGUUAGUGGAAUUCCCAGUGUAGCGGUGAAAUGCGUAGAGAUUGGGAGGAACACCAGUGGCGAAGGCGACUAACUGGACUGUAACUGACGCUGAGGCGCGAAAGUGUGGGGAGCAAACAGGAUUAGAUACCCUGGUAGUCCACACUGUAAACGAUGAAUGCUAGGUGUAGGGGGUAUCGACCCCUUCUGUGCCGCAGUCAACACAAUAAGCAUUCCGCCUGGGGAGUACGGCCGCAAGGUUGAAACUCAAAGGAAUUGACGGGGGCCCGCACAAGCAGUGGAGUAUGUGGUUUAAUUCGACGCAACGCGAAGAACCUUACCAGGUCUUGACAUCCUUCUGACCGCACCUUAAUCGGUGCUUUCCUUCGGGACAGAAGAGACAGGUGGUGCAUGGUUGUCGUCAGCUCGUGUCGUGAGAUGUUGGGUUAAGUCCCGCAACGAGCGCAACCCUUAUCUUCAGUUACUAACGCGUGAGGGUGAGGACUCUGAAGAGACUGCCGGGGACAACUCGGAGGAAGGUGGGGACGACGUCAAAUCAUCAUGCCCCUUAUGACCUGGGCUACACACGUGCUACAAUGGCCACGACAGAGAGAAGCGAAAUCGCAAGGUAGAGCGGAACUCAAAAAAGUGGUCCCAGUUCGGAUUGUGGGCUGCAACCCGCCCACAUGAAGUCGGAGUUGCUAGUAAUCGCGGAUCAGCAUGCCGCGGUGAAUACGUUCCCGGGCCUUGUACACACCGCCCGUCACACCAUGGGAGUUGGGAGUGCCCAAAGCCGGUGAGGCAACCGCAAGGAGCCAGCCGUCUAAGGCAAGACCAAUGACUGGGGUG